GACGUAGGGCGCGAGCGUUGUCCGGAUUUAUUGGGCGUAAAGAGCUCGUAGGCGGCUUGUCGCGUCGACUGUGAAAUCCCGCGGCUCAACUGCGGGUCUGCAGUCGAUACGGGCAGGCUAGAGUUCGGUAGGGGAGACUGGAAUUCCUGGUGUAGCGGUGGAAUGCGCAGAUAUCAGGAGGAACACCAAUAGCGAAGGCAGCUCGCUGGGACGGUACUGACGCUAAGGCGCGAAAGCGUGGGGAGCGAACAGG
rnacentral:rRNA from 1 species